UACGGAGGGUGCAAGCGUUGUCCGGAUUUAUUGGGUCUAAAGGGUGCGUAGGCGGCCCGUUAAGUCAGUGGUGAAAGCCUCCAGCUCAACUGGAGAACUGCCAUUGAUACUGGCGGGCUUGAGUACAGACGAGGUAGGCGGAAUUGAUUGUGUAGCGGUGAAAUGCAUAGAUACAAUCAAGAACACCGAUUGCGUAGGCAGCUUACUAGGCUGUAACUGACGCUGAGGCACGAAAGCGUGGGGAGCGAACAGG
rnacentral:rRNA from 1 species